rnacentral:rRNA from 1 species
UACGGAGGGUGCGAGCGUUGUCCGGAUUUAUUGGGUUUAAAGGGUGCGUAGGCGGCCGUUUAAGUCCGGGGUGAAAGCCCGCUGCUCAACAGCGGAACUGCCCUGGAUACUGGACAGCUUGAGUACAGACGAGGUUGGCGGAAUGGACCGAGUAGCGGUGAAAUGCAUAGAUACGGUCCAGAACCCCGAUUGCGAAGGCAGCUGACUAGACUGUUACUGACGCUGAGGCACGAAAGCGUGGGGAGCGAACAGG